rnacentral:rRNA from 1 species
UACAGAGGGUGCAAGCGUUGUUCGGAAUUAUUGGGCGUAAAGCGCGUGUAGGCGGCUUUGCAAGUCGGGUGUGAAAGCCCUCAGCUCAACUGAGGAAGUGCGCCCGAAACUGCAGAGCUUGAGUGCCGGAGAGGGUGGCGGAAUUCCUGGUGUAGAGGUGAAAUUCGUAGAUAUCAGGAGGAACACCAGUGGCGAAGGCGGCUUUCUGGACGGUAACUGACGCUGAGACGCGAAAGCGUGGGGAGCAAACAGGAUUAAGAAACCC